GGGAAUCUACCUUUUGCUACGGAAUAACUCAGGGAAACUUGUGCUAAUACCGUAUGUGCCCUUCGGGGGAAAGAUUUAUCGGCAAAGGAUGAGCCCGCGUUGGAUUAGCUAGUUGGUGGGGUAAAGGCCCACCAAGGCGACGAUCCAUAGCUGGUCUGAGAGAAUGAUCAGCCACACUGGGACUGAGACACGGCCCAGACUCCUACGGGAGGCAGCAGUGGGGAAUAUUGGACAAUGGGCGCAAGCCUGAUCCAGCCAUGCCGCGUGAGUGAUGAAGGCCCUAGGGUUGUAAAGCUCUUUCACCGGUGAAGAUAAUGACGGUAACCGGAGAAGAAGCCCCGGCUAACUUCGUGCCAGCAGCCGCGGUAAUACGAAGGGGGCUAGCGUUGUUCGGAUUUACUGGGCGUAAAGCGCACGUAGGCGGACUUUUAAGUCAGGGGUGAAAUCCCAGAGCUCAACUCUGGAACUGCCUUUGAUACUGGAAGUCUUGAGUAUGGUAGAGGUGAGUGGAAUUCCGAGU
rnacentral:rRNA from 1 species